CCACUACAGAGGAAACAAUGAGCUCAACACAGAAGGACGAUCCUCAGCGCUUACACAGAUCCUCCAUCGAUGUUUUGGAUCCAAUCAGUGAUCAGUUCUACGAGGAGGCCUGGAUGUUCACCAGCGCUCGCUACACCUCCAUCUACCAGAAGGUUUUCCACUGUCGGCCAUCCAGCGAUGCUGGAGGGCUACCUGGCCAAUGCUGGCCUACACAAAGAGGUCCCGGCUCGGAGGAGCUGAAGAAGAUCCUUGCCUUCCUCGUCAGUUUCCUCUUCAGUUCCUAUCCCAACAAAACCUUCUUGCACCUAUUAGCUCCAAAGAGGCUAUGGUGCCCGUGGAGGUCUGGACCUGAGGCCUGUGCUCAUCACGUGGAUAGAAAACACUCUGACACCAUUCUGGAGGUCUGAUGGGACUCUGACCAAAACACAGAUGAAAUAAAACUUGUGGCUGGAGCUUUUAAAAUUACUUUUUCACCUCAUAGAUUAAUGCUCAUGAUUGCAUGUUAGCCAGACAGCAUCUCCCCAAGGUGAAACUCUCAGGAGACAUUUACUCUUAAACUGUAAUCUGGUUGAGACUACUUGAGGAGAUCUUAGUAGCGAGUAUGUGGAUUUAGUCUCUUCACCAACAGCAGACAGACCCAUGCCAAGAAAGCAGACAUGUUCUCAAAGAAAGCCGAGAGCAGAGAUUGGAAAAAGCUAAAAAGAAAAAGCUGCAGCUUCAGACGACUAUCUGCCUAUGUUGACUGUGACCUCAGAGGCCAACUGGACCACACAGCUGCAGCAGGAGUGAGGGAGAGGAGUCUUCAUCCAGCUUCAAAGAAAACAUCCAGUUAGAAACCCUGCAGCAACCCGACCCAAAACUGUGUCUUCUUGUUGGCCUCAACGUUGAAGUGUCAAACGUCCAACAUCUGGAAAGGAAACCACGCCAGUGUACUGUGAUGUUUCACCAACAUGUGGCAGACGCUGGUCCUGCCUUUCAUGCUGACAUCAGCAGAGAGCCCCGCCUACCUCAAAGCCUCCCCUGUCAUGUAUUGAUCAGGAUGAUUAUGAAGAUGAGCGAGUGCAAAUAAGACUGUAAAAGUCCACGAGCAGAAUGUUUGGAUGCUUUCUGAUGAUUCAUGAAUAUCAUGAGAGUGUUUGUGUGUUUUGUCUUUUCUUUGCUGACGUUUGUUACUAACAAAGACAAUUUACGCUCUGUGUGUGUUUUCAUCCUUACCAGCCGCACUCUAACUGCAAUGAAGGAAACAAACUGUAGAAAUGGUCGACUCAGUGACUUCAUAAAAUAUUGAAGUGGUUCAGGUAGAGCCAGUUUUUAAAUGACCAUGAACACUGAGCGUAUUGUAUCUGUACAGCAUGUUUUUCUAUUAGACAGAUUUGUAACAGAGGCCUUGCUCUCAGUAAGUUUGAAAUCCUUUUCUGAUUUCUUUUGUAAUCUCUGAUCUUUGUGUAUCCUGCUCAGUUUGCAUGCUGCCUGUAGGAGUUUCUGUCUUUGUAUUUGAAGAGAAUUCAUUGAAUAUACUCAGCUGCUUCCCUUUGGUGCCUCACACAUCACUGAAGUUUUUCAGU